GAUGAAGAACGUAGUGAAAUGCUAUAAGUAAUGUGAAUUGCAGAAUUCAGUGAAUCAUCGAAUCUUUGAACGCACAUUGCGCCCCCUGGUAUUCCGGGGGGCAUGCCUGUUCGAGCGUCAUUUCACCACUCAAGCCUCGCUUGGUAUUGGGCAACGCGGUCCGCCGCGUGCCUCAAAUCGACCGGCUGGGUCUUCUGUCCCCUAAGCGUUGUGGAAACUAUUCGCUAAAGGGUGCUCGGGAGGCUACGCCGUAAAACAAACCCAUUUCUAAGGUUGACCUCGGAUCAGGUAGGGAUACCCGCUGAACUUAAGCAUAUCAAUAAGCGGAGGA
rnacentral:misc_RNA from 1 species